rnacentral:rRNA from 1 species
AGGGCCGCGGUAAUUUGACCGUGCGAAGGUAGCAUAAUCAUUAGUUUUUUAAUUGGAAGCUUGUAUGAAGGGUCGGAUGAGGGGUUAGCUGUCUUUUUACAAAUUUUGGAAUUUAACUUUUAAGUGAAAAGGCUUAAAUUUCAUAAGGGGACGAUAAGACCCUAUAAAACUUUAUAUGGUUGCUUUUCAUUUUAAGAAUUUUUAAUUUAACUGAAAGGGUGCUAUAUUUUGUUGGGGAGACAUAGAUAUAAUAAUAACUGUCUAUUUAAAUAAAAUGAAUAUGAAAAGUUUAUGAUCCUUUAUUGGAGAUUAUAAGACUAAGUUACUUUAGGGAUAACAGCGUGAUUUUCUUUGAGAGUUCUUAUCGACAGGAAUAGUUGCGACCUCGAUGUUGAAUUAAAAUUUCCUUGGGGUGCAGCAGCUCUUUAGGUGGGUCUGUUCGACCUUUAAAAUUUU